rnacentral:rRNA from 1 species
CACUCCUGCGGGAGGCAGCAGUGAGGAAUAUUGGACCAUGGGUGGAAGCCUGAUCCAGCCAUCCCGCGUGCAGGAAGACGGCCCUAUGGGUUGUAAACUGCUUUUAUCUGGGGAUAAACCUACUUACGUGUAAGUAGCUGAAGGUACCAGAAGAAUAAGCACCGGCUAACUCCGUGCCAGCAGCCGCGGUAAUACGGAGGGUGCAAGCGUUAUCCGGAUUUAUUGGGUUUAAAGGGUCCGUAGGCGGACUGAUAAGUCAGUGGUGAAAUCCGACAGCUUAACUGUCGAACUGCCAUUGAUACUGUUAGUCUUGAGUAAGGUUGAAGUGGCUGGAAUAAGUAGUGUAGCGGUGAAAUGCAUAGAUAUUACUUAGAACACCAAUUGCGAAGGCAGGUCACUAAGUCUUAACUGACGCUGAUGGACGAAAGCGUGGGGAGCGAACAGGAUUAGAAACCCCAGUAGUCCC